ACGACACAUGGACACGUGUAGACAUUAAAUAUAAAUCAUUUUAUAAUAUACAAAUUGUACAGAUGCAACCAAAGGAAAGCAGACAGGCUGAUGAGGAGGAAUGUUCUCCGUCUUGAAGGCGAUGACGGCGGCGGCGGCGCUGCAGCAUCAGAGAUACUCAACAUUCAUGAGAAGAAACUACUCGAAAGGCGCUGAAGUGUUUUCCGCCGCCGUGUUCACGCCACGGAGGAAACCAACCACCAUAUUUUUACGGCGCCAGACGUUUGAGUCAUGAGGAGAUGUUUGAGUUCCUCGCCGUUUCCCGGAGAGAGGAAACUGUAAAUUCCCUCAGACCCUGAAGGGGACUGAAUUUUGGGGCAGAUGGCGUCCUGAAGGCCGCGCCAGCAGGAAUCCAUGUUUUUAGAAUCCUGACGUUCUAGAGUUUUUCAGGAAAGGGUUUACUGGAGGAGGAGACGCUCCACAUCUGGACACUGGAGCAGGAAUCAAACCCUCGACUCAUCUCCAUAAAGUUAAAUACUGACUUAUGACUUCAUCCAGAGGCAGGAAAGUCUAUUUUUUGACAACAUCAGGUGGAGUGGAACCACAAUAACCAAAAUUAUUUCAACAUCAGUUUUUUAUAUCAUUAAAAUAUAAAUGAUUGGUUUCACACUGUAAAAAUGUCAAAGUUAAAUCAGCUGAUAAAUCCUUUGACAGAUCAUUAAAACUUUUAUUAUGUUUGAUUACUUUUGUCCUUAAAGGGAUUAUUUUUGGAAAACAUUUUUUUAAAUCAUUUUGAUGUUUCCACUGUGUGAUUCUAUGCGUUUCCCAUAAACUUUUAGGGGAUUUAAGGAUCUUUGCAGGACUCGUUUGAAUUUUUUUGGGUUUUUAAGGUGGAGUGUGUUUGUGUUUAUGUUUGGGCAAAACCAACCAGAUUUGAGUGCUAUCUCACUCUCGGAAAACGAGUGUUUUAUUCAUUUGGAGAAGCCUGAAUGUAAAAGAAACUCCAGACGGAAACACAAACAUAAUUUAAAGAUUCCCUCUGAUCAAAGUGGUUGAUGGUUGAUCAGCUUACAGUGAAUGAAAAAACAGAUUCAAAUUGAAUUAAAGUUUCAAACACUGAAAACUUGAAGGAAUUAUGGAAAAUAUGACAUUUUAAGUUUGAAAAAAUAAUAUUGUAAACUUGAAAGAAAUGUUGAAAAUGUAAAACUUGACUUAAACAAGUAUAUAUUUUUCAACUUUUGUUUUUCAGGCUGUGAUUUCCCAUGAGGUUUUCCCAAACAGGUGAUGGUGAUGUGGCGGCGUUCCUGCUCCAGAACGGAGUCUGUUCUAUUUCACGCUCCACUAUAAGGGAUGACCUCAUGACCUCAGGAGGAAGAGGAGGAGGCGCCGCUCCCAUGUUUCAGCGAAGGCGACACAAAGCCCGCAGCAAAACAAAAAAACAUUCACAAACGAUGCAGAAAAGUCCACAAACACAACACCUUCAUGAGGGGGAAACGGCCCCGCCCCCCCAGCUCUGAACUCCAGUAAUAAAAGACCAACCAGCAGCCAAAGCCCCCCAGCCCCCCAGGACGAUAAUGAACACACGACAUUUAGAUCACCGGAACGCCUCUAGCAGACACGUCUAACAGCGGACUGAAGCCAUCACAGUUUCAUCAGCUACUCUACACAGGAAAACGCCGGCGGGAAUCUCAGCGGCGACGGGUUGGACCGUUUAUGUUCAGAGGGCAGAAUUUCCCAUCAUCCUCUUCUGUAAGGACAGCUCUGUCCUUCAUAGGAAAAGUCCCAGCAAUCAGUGCAAACAACCCCCCCAUCAGCGUCUUCAAUGAGCCUUGACGUGUUGAGGUGUCUCGUUGUCGAUACCUGCCCCCCCAAACCCCAAAAAAGUGAUUAUAAAUGCACGAUUACAGACAGAGCCCCCGCUGGUAGAAUCCAUUAGCCAGCCACUCAGAGCUGAGCACCGUGAACGCCGCCACCUGCCUCCCCCGGAUAAAGGAGGGGGGGGGCAGGAAGCCAUGAGGCGGCACGCCGUGAUGUCCGCUCAGAGCUGGAGGAAACAUCAUCUCUGGGAUGGACCCGUACAGGUCGACAUGAGCCGCCACGGUCUGUCGCUGCUACAAACUGUCUCUGUGUCGACAGAAAAUCCUCCGUUUCAGCUGCUUUCACUGAAAAAACGCAUGAAAGUUGAUUUCUGCCAGUUUCAGGAUGAACAACAGCAGGAAAAACAGUCCAAAACGAUGAGCUACAGGGUUCAUGGUUCUGAGAAAAGAGUCCAAAAUGCAGGACUGUUGGAAAUCCUCGUCAAAUACGCAGAAAACUUUAAAAUCUUUACAGCUGUAAACACUGGUUGCUAUGGGAAACUGGACAAAGUAGUUUGACAUUAUGGAGUAAAAAUUGGUGGACAUCCUAACCAGCUCAACUGAAGCAUGAAAUCAAAUGGUUGCUAUGGGAAACUGGGUGAUUUAGCUUGCGAUAAUGGAAUAAAAAUUGGUGGACAUAUCAACCAGCUUCAAAGAAGCAUAAAACCAUAUGGUUGCUAUGGACCUAAACAAUUUGCAAUGUUUCUACUUUGAAUCGAAUGUGACUCUGCUGAGGUUUAGUAGACAGUAGAUAUGAAAGAACUGCAGCUUUAGCGGCAGGUACCCAGUGCCAAAUGAACUAAUCUGAUGGUAGAAACAAGAGGUUACCUACUAAAGCCUGCAGCAUGCUGGGCCGUUGUCAUGGAUACCACUUUCCAUUUUGCCCAACUGAACCCGUGUUUGUCUGAUUUAUUCAAGAUUAUCUUCAAUUGCCAAUAUUGCAAAUAGUCAAAGGUGGUUAAUGCCCUCUUAUGAGAACAUAGCAUGCAGAUGUAGAUCUAUAUAAGAUAUCCUCAGAACCGAAUGUUUUCACGUUUCCAGAUAAAGUAAUUAAGGGGAUACUCAGUUUUGGUAGUAAUGACUCAUAACUUUAGCAGCUUCUUUGUACUAAAAUAAUGUCUUUGACUCCACAUUUUACAUGCAAAGAAACUG